rnacentral:miRNA from 1 species
UGUAGGCUGCGUGGUUGGGGUUU